rnacentral:rRNA from 1 species
ACACUUGGCCAGGAUGAAGUCCCGGUAACACGGGAUGGAGGUCCGCACCAAUAAGCGUUGAAAAGCUUCUGGAUGAGCCGAGUGUAGGAGUGAAAGGCCAAUCAAACUUGGAGAUAGCUCGUACUCCCCGAAAGGCAUUUAGGUGCCGCGUCGGAUGGUCACCGUGAGAGGUAGAGCGACCGAUAGGACAAGAGGGCUUCACCGCCUAUCGAGUCCUGACGAACUCCGAAUGCUCACGGUCUGCAGUCCGGCAGUAAGGGGGCGGGUGCUAAGGUCCGUGCCCGAGAGGAGAAGAAUCCAGACCGCCGUCUAAGGUCCCGGAGUUCUGCCUGAGUUAGUCUAACGAAGUCUGGUCCCUAUGACAGCUAGGAUGUUGGCUUGGAAGCAGCCAUUCAUUCAAAGAGUGCGUAACAGCUCACUAGUCGAGGGUCCGGGCAUGGAUAAUAAUCGGGUAUAAGGCAGACACCGAAGGCGCGGGAUAGCAAUUAUAAAAGUAUCGGUAGGGGAGCAUACUCACAGCGUCGAAUGGUGUACGUAAGUUAUCCUGGAGCGGUGAGUAAAGCAAAUGUAGGAAUAAGUAACGAUAAGGAGGGUUAGAUUCCCUCCCGCUGUAAGACCAAGGUUUCCCGGGCAAUGCCAAUCAGCCCGGGGUCAGUCGGGUCCUAAGUCUAAGCCGAACGGCGAUGGCGAUGGCAGAGACGGUUAAUAUUCCGUCACUGCCGCAUGGGGCGACGUGGAGACGGAGCAGUGAAACCACCGCGGGGCGACGGAAGUCCCCGUUGAAGAGUGUAGGUGUUGAGGAUGGCAGGCAAAUCCACCAUCCGAGCUGAACUUGAUAGUACGGAGUCCUCCUCGGAGGAAUCUGAUAGUGUGGGUAAUCAUACUCCCGAGAAAAUCCGCUAAGCUUAACCCAUGCGGCACCCGUACCGCAAACGGACACACGUGGUCGGGUAGAACAUACUAAGGCGUUGAGAGAUUCAUGGUUAAGGAACUAGGCAAAUUGACCCUGUAACUUCGGGAUAAAGGGUCCUCGUGAUGAGCGAGGCGCAGAGAAUAGGUCCAGGCAACUGUUUAACAAAAACACAGGGCUGUGCAAACUCGAAAGAUGACGUAUACAGCCUGACACCUGCCCGGUGCCGGAAGGUUAAGAGGAGAUGUCACUCGCAAGAGGAAGCAUUGAAUUGAAGCCCCGGUAAACGGCGGCCGUAACUAUAACGGUCCUAAGGUAGCGAAAUUCCUUGUCGGGUAAGUUC